rnacentral:misc_RNA from 1 species
GAUGAAGAACUUAGCGAAAUGCGAUACUUGGUGUGAAUUGCAGAAUCCCGUGAACCAUCGAGUCUUUGAACGCAAGUUGCGCCCGAAGCCAUUAGGCCGAGGGCACGCCUGCCUGGGCGUCACACGUCGUUGCCCCCCCAUCCACUCCUUCGGGAUUGCGGGGGGCGGAUGAUGGCCUCCCGUGCGCCUCGCCGCGCGGUUGGCAUAAAUGCCAAGUCCUCGGCGACGCACGCCACGACAAUCGGUGGUUGCGAAACCUCGGUUGCCCGUCGUGUGCGGUCGUCGCGCAUCGAGGGCUCGAAAAAAUUGCCGGGUUCCGGCUCGGCUUUCAACGCGACCCCAGGUCAGGCGGGGUUACCCGCUGAAUUUAAGCAUAUCAAUAAGCGGAGGA